AUUGAACGCUGGCGGCAGGCCUAACACAUGCAAGUCGAGCGAGAGGCGGACGGGUGAGAAAUGACUGGGAAACUGCCUGAUGGAGGGGGAUAACUCCUGGAAACGGUAGCUAAUACCGCAUACCAUCAGAUGUGCCCAGCUGGGAUUAGCUAUGAGGUGGGGUAAUGGCUCACCUAGGCGACGAUCCCUAGCUGGUCGGAGAGGAUGACCAGCCACACUGGAAGUGAGACACGGUCCAUACGCCUACGUGAUGCAGCAGUGGGGAAUAUUGCACAAUGGGCGGAAGCCUGAUGCAGCCAUGCCGCGUGUGUGAAGAAGGCCUUCGGGUUGUAAAGCACUUUCAGCGAGGAGGCGUUACUCGCAGAAGAAGCACCGGCUAACUCCGUGCAAGCAGCCGCGGUAAUAC
rnacentral:rRNA from 1 species